rnacentral:rRNA from 1 species
GGACUACCGGGGUAUCUAAUCCUGUUUGAUCCCCACGCUUUCGCGCCUCAGCGUCAGUUGUCGUCCAGAUAGCCGCCUUCGCCACCGGUGUUCCUGCUAAUAUCUACGAAUUUCACCUCUACAUUAGCAAUUCCGCUAUCCCCUCCGACACUCCAGCUUCACAGUUUCAAAGGCAAUUCUUGGGUUGAGCCCAAGGAUUUCACCCCUGACUUGAGAAGCCGCCUACGCGCGCUUUACGCCCAGUAAUUCCGAACAACGCUAGCACCCUUCGUAUUACCGCGGCUGCUGGCAC